rnacentral:lncRNA from 1 species
UAGAAGACACUAUCUGAAUGUGUGAAACUCUAGCAUGGAAACGCUAACUGAAUGUCCGAAACUCUAGCAUAGAAACGGUAGCAGCAGCCCGUUGCCACCAAGAUCAAUCUUGUGCUAGGGACGCACGCGACGACGAUGUCGCUGCCAAGAGCCCAGAACGUGACGAUGGUGAUGUCGCAGCAAUGACGCGAUGGCGAUGUCAACUGUGCUAGGAGCCAAGAUCAGUCUUCUAUUCACAUGACGCAAUGGCGAUAUCGCCGCAAGGAGCCCGGCCAGAAUGUGACGAGUCUUCUAUUCACGCGAAGGAGCAUAGCCGCCACCAGGAUGUUACUGCAGACGACUCCGAAGGAAUAGGUCGUGGAAAGUUUCAAGCGCCUAGCAGAAUAGGCCCGUGGUAGUUGGUAACGUGGCAAUUUUUUAAUAUACAAGAUGAGAAAUAGCAAGUUUAUUGAAAAACUCUUCUUUCUUGAGGACUUCUAUACUUUACAAAAAAGCUAAACUAUGCAAUUUAGCUAUUUAUUUUACCAUAUGUGUUGG